UACAGAGGGGGCAAGCAUUGUUCGGAAUUACUGGGCGUAAAGGGCGCGUAGGCGGCCUGUUAAGUCGAACGUGAAAUCCCCGGGCUCAACCCGGGAACUGCGUCCGAUACUGGCAGGCUUGAAUCCGGGAGAGGGAUGCGGAAUUCCAGGUGUAGCGGUGAAAUGCGUAGAUAUCUGGAGGAACACCGGUGGCGAAGGCGGCAUCCUGGACCGGCAUUGACGCUGAGGCGCGAAAGCCAGGGGAGCAAACGGG
rnacentral:rRNA from 1 species